UACGGAGGGUGCGAGCGUUAUCCGGAUUUAUUGGGUUUAAAGGGUGCGUAGGCGGCUUUUUAAGUCAGCGGUGAAAUUUUGCAGCUUAACUGUAACAGUGCCGUUGAUACUGGGGAGCUAGGAUUUGGUUGCUGUGGGUGGAAUGUGUGGUGUAGCGGUGAAAUGCUUAGAGAUCACACAGAAUAUCGAUUGCGAAGGCAGCUCACAAAGCCAAGAUUGACGCUGAGGCACGAAAGUGUGGGGAUCAAACAGGAUUAGA
rnacentral:rRNA from 1 species